rnacentral:rRNA from 1 species
GACGAACGCUGGCGGCGUGCUUAACACAUGCAAGUCGAACGGAAAGGCCCUGCUUUUGUUGGGUGCUCGAGUGGCGAACGGGUGAGUAACACGUGAGUAACCUGCCCUUGACUUUGGGAUAACUUCAGGAAACUGGGGCUAAUACCGGAUAGGAGCUCCUGCUGCAUGGUGGUGGUUGGAAAGUUUCGGCGGUUGGGGAUGGACUCGCGGCUUAUCAGCUUGUUGGUGGGGUAGUGGCUUACCAAGGCUUUGACGGGUAGCCGGCCUGAGAGGGUGGACGGCCACAAUGGGACUGCGAUACGGCCCAGACGCGUACGGGAGGCAGCAGGGGGGAAUAUUGCACAAUGGGGGGAAGCCUGAGGCAGCAACGCCGGGUGCGGGAUGACGGGCUUUGGGUUGUAAACCGCUUUCGCCUGUGACGAAGCGAGAGUGACGGUAAUGGGUAAAGAAGCACCGGCUAACUACGUG